rnacentral:rRNA from 1 species
CAAUAGCGUAUAUUAAAGUUGUUGCAGUUAAAAAGCUCGUAGUUGGAUUUCUGGUGGGAGCGAUCGGUCUGGCGCUUAGCGCGAGUACUUGCAUCGUCUCCGGCCAUCCUUGGGGAGAGUCUGUCUGGCAUUAGGUUGUCGGGCAGAGGAUCCUCAUCGUUUACUGUGAAAAAAUUAGAGUGUCCAAAGCAGGCUUAUGCCGUUGAAUAUAUUAGCAUGGAAUAAUAAGAUAGGACUUUGGUACUAUUUUGUUGGUUUGCGCACCAAAGUAAUGAUUAAUAGGGACAGUUGGGGGUAUUCGUAUUCCGUUGUCAGAGGUGAAAUUCUUGGAUUUACGGAAGACGAACUACUGCGAAAGCAUUUACCAAGGAUGUUUUCAUUAA